rnacentral:siRNA from 1 species
AGAGCUAAAUGGAUGAAACGAUGA